GAUAUUAAACGGCAUGGGGUCUAAGUUUUGGAGUUUUUUUUUUUUUUUUUUGAUAUUGCAAUUAAAGUACAAUUAAAAAGAAAA
rfam:Choloepus hoffmanni cont1.900950, whole genome shotgun sequence.